UCCAAGCUCUAAGUGCUAGAAUUGGAAGCGGGAUGCGCCUGCAUUGCUUUGGGACCUGCUGUGCUUUGGACCCUGUCUUGCUUUAGGUCUUGCCUUGCUUUGGGCCGUGCUUUGCUUUGGGUUCUGCCUUGCCUUAGGUCUUGCCUUGCUUUGGGCCCUGCCAUGCUUUGUGGUAAUGCAGCUCUCAGGCUGCAAUCACCGAUGUUUGUUAAUUAAGCUGUAUUGCAGCUCGUGCCUGAGAGGCAUGGAACGUCUUCGUGUGCUUCUGUCUCACACCCUGCCAAGGCUCUGAAAUUGUCAUUUCAGGGAAUGCACGGAGAGACUGACUGAAAUCUGGGAGUUAAUUAAUUUAACCAGUUGCUUUUUUUCUGGCAUCACCCUUAUAAUAGAUGUAGGAGCCUGCUGGUUAUCAUCAUACCAUAUCUGAGGCGGAAAGCCUAUGUCUGGAUGGGGAGUGACAUUCUGCAUUGUGUUGCCCAGGAAAUUAACACUGGUGAAGCAGUGGAAUGGCUGAAAUCACGCAGUAACUGAAGAGCCAUCCCCCAGAAUAGAGUGGUGGAGCAGUGGGGCUCUCCUUGGCCGGAUCCGGACCUCACAGCACCUCCUGGUGCCAAAGUGUGGGGCAGGCGGCCAGAAACAGCACAGGGCCCCAUUCACGGGCAGGCACGGCUUCUGCUGCAGCAAGUAAGCACAGACAGGUUUGUCUGCUCUGUGCAGGAGACUCCAAACCCACAGGCAUGAAAGGAGCCCUUGUAGGGCUGCUGCUCCUGGGGGGCGCAUCGUAUGAAGGCCCUGCACGCUCAUUGCAGCCCAUCCGCGUGCACUGCCCACCUGGCCAUGCUGCUCCUGUGACAGAGGUGAUCAGCCAGGAGUUGACUGCAUGAAAAAAACCCAGCACUGAGAAUGCAGCUGGAAUGCAGCUGAGCCAUUCAGGUAUUUGUUAGUUAUUCCGAACAAAUGGUCUGGGUCUGCUCGGGUGCCAAAUACUGCACACGUACCCCUAUCCGUGCAUCAAAACUGAUGCAGGAGGGCUGCAGUCCCUCCUUGCAGCUCUGUAACCCAGGGCUGGAGCCAUGCACCAUGCAGAAGUACCUCAUGGGCUUCCCAAAAUUAAAGCAGUUGUUCUGCAUUCUGUUUGUCGUGCUCUUCUGGUGCCAGCAUGCAGCAGCACAAAACUCUCUUCUUCCCCUGCCUUGUUACAAUGCAGCCGACUAGUUCCAAAACUCCAUUAAUGACACUAAUUAAUGAUUACUCUGAAGCAAUUGGGGAGGUACAGCAGAGGGCACGCACCUGGAGUAGCAGGCCAGGCUGGUGCUCAGCACCGUGUUGAGCACUGCAACAGGGACGUAGCAGCAGUGGAAGAUGCUACCAACCCAUUCUUCUGGGAAAACGUAUGCUGAAUACGCCAGGGCUGAACCUGGAGGGGGAUGGGAGGACAUGAAUUCCCUGCAGGUUCCUUAUCCCGGGCUGAACCCCCCAUCCUUACCCAAGCUGUACAUGCUGAGCGCCGCGUAGUCGAAGAAGUAGCAGACGUGCCGGGCACGAGCCGACAUGGGGCUGAAGGUGUGGGCGCAGCUGGAGGCCAGUGGGUAGAUGCAGCAGCUCAGCAGGUAGGCGAGCAGCGGCCAGGCGGGGGGGUCCCGGCCCCCCGGCCCCCACAGCCGCCCCACCAGCAUCCACACGAAGUACCUGUGAGCACACGGUGAGCGUCACGCCCGGCGCAUCCCCUGCCCCGACGGCGCGGUGACGGCCGUGAGACGCACCAUGCAGGGAGGAAGUGGGUCCAGAUGUUGAGCGUUUCGUUGGUCAUCUGGAAGGCACUGAGGACGCAGUCGGCUGCUGAGAUCCUCGGGGGGCGGUACCCACAGAGGAUGCCCUGCUCCUGGUACCCCUGCGAGGUGCAGAGCAGUGGCAGAGCGUCCCCCAAGGGGAGGUCCGGCCAUCAGCACCCUGGGUGCAGGGUGAGGGUCCCGCAUCCCUCCAGCCCCAGGGGAUGGGAGCUGCUCUCUGACCUUAGGCACUUGGUGGAUGCUGAGCAGUCGGGGCAGCUUCAGGCUCAGCAUUGCGCCGUCGGGACCACGGCUCCGUGGGACGGUGCCUCACAUCCCUGCCCUGCGGGUGGCGCCGGGAGCGGUGGGGAUGUGGCUGCCCCGUGGUGAUGGCUCUGCGCUCAGGAUGGGUGGCCUGUGGGACACGAGCAUUGGUGGGAAUGUGGUCUCCAACGCACCGGUGCUGAAGGCGUGGAUGUUGGAGAUGGAGGCUGGCACCCCCUGCAGUCAGCGUGGGGUUUCUGGGGUCCCCCACUGCCACUCAUACAGCAAGAGGGUGAAGUGGGGGAUGUGCGGCUCUCCCCACCUGCCCUCUCCCCAUCAGACAUCAGGGAACACGGAGCAAUCCCGGCACCUCCAGCACUUACCCAACUGCACCGUCUCUCCACUCCCUGCCUGCACCGCCGGGCUGUGGAGUAAAGGUGAAGAAAGCUGAAUUCCCAGGGUGGAGACCAGCAGAGCUGUGGGCAGCACCCUGCUAUGCGCCCCACUGCACCCACGCCUCCUCCUCGCCCUCCCCAUAACCUCCCCGAGCGGGGAUUCGUCACACCUUGCUGCUGCACGGAGCGGCCACAGAGCCCUACCAGAGCCCUUUGCUCUCUCCUCCCAGUGCUUCCCACUGUGUGCCCCUGCCCAGGCUGUGUCCUGAUCCCUGUGGAUGAGGCUGGGGGUGCAGGGGGUGCCCAGGAGGCACAGCAGCCAGGAGUGGUUAACAAGAGAAAAAUUAACGAGGCGAGAGAGCAAUAAACCUGACAUGGAACGAAGUUGGGAAUGCCUUUAGUUAAAGAUUAGUCUCCAGUUGGGACCUUUCUCUUGGCUGUUGCACCAGCAGCAUGCAAGUAUUUGCAUUCUCCACCAGCAAAGACACAGAGCUCUGCCUGCUCCUGUCCCCACAGAUAGGAACACAAAUGAGCUCAACGAUGGGAUGGAACAAAAAUACUUUUUCUUAUCUUGGAGAUAAGAAGGUGCGAGCUGUGUGACGAGCUGGCACCAGGCACGCGCUGGGCUGCAAAUACAUGGGGGCAGCAGCUGGGUUUGCAGGAGUGCAAAACAGGGAUGGCAAUGGGGAUAGGAGCAGGGGCAGGAAUGGAGAGAGGGACAGGGAUGGGAUGGGGACAGGGAUGCCUGCGCACGCAUCCAUGCAUCUUCUCCUCUUGCCUGGCUAGAGGAACAGCUCAAUGCAGGUGUAGCACAGCAGUAUGAGCAUUGCCCCAUUGCAUGCAUAACUUCUCUGAGUGGCAUAGGGGUGCUCAGGGUGACAAAGUGACCUCAGUGAACUGAGAAACGAUCAGAAAAUGACGGGUGGCUGCAAUGCUUCCUGCUCCCAGGAGGAAACACAAUGGGUUGGCUGCGGGUGAUGUGGUGGGGACAGCGCCUGGUGACAGCCGGAGGGACCCGGCCUCUCUCAGCAGGGAGCUCCCCAGCUGCAGCAACCAGUUUGUGUUUUUAUGAGCAAAGUGAGUCACUGGGCUGAGGCCACAGGAGCUGCAGGCACACCCUGCAGCCCCACUCCUUCCUGCUCCAAGGGCACAUUUGGUGAGGCAGUGGGGCAGGGAUGGGGGACAUCACCCUGGUGGGAAGCACGGACAUAUCUUUAGUGGUGACCUCUGCGGCAGCAAGCUGCAAGGCCUGGAGGUGUGCUGCAAACACACCCUUAUCCUCCUCCUUCUCCCCCUGUUCCUCCUCCUCCUCUUUCUCCCCAUCCCCAUGGCCAUGUGCAGCCCCAACGCAUCCCCAUCGGCGCGUCAGCUCAGUGUGUGUGUGAAGCCCUGUGUGCCAGUGAAGGGGAAGUUAUUUUAGCUGUUAAUCAUUAACUUUUACAGCUUUCUUAGAGCAGCACAGGAGCAGAACCGGCUGAGCCAUAGAGCUGGGACUGUGCAGGGGCCGCUGGCACUGUGGGGUUGCGCACAAGCAGCUCGGUGGUACCCAAGCUGAGCUGGGGACCCACGGCUCUUCUCCACCAAGAGAAGAGUUCCAUCUGCCCCACACACAAACCCCCACAUCCCCUGGCCUUGCACGGCCGGAAAGCAGUAGCCCAGCAGCCCAGCAGCACAGCAGCACGGCAGCCCUUGGGAUAGCAGCACAAAGCGCAGCGGCGGAGCGGGGCGAAGCGAGCGUGCCGUACUUACACAGCGGCCGGGCGCAGGGCUGGGCGAUGCCGCGCUGGCGCCGAGCUGUUGCUCAUCUGUGUACAAACAGAGCCCGCAUGGCCCAGCGAUGGAGCUGCAUGGGAGGGGACGGUGGGACGGGACGGGGCCGCCUGGGGACGGUUCCCACUGGGCGCGGGAAGGACGCGGGGAGGUCAGCGCGCGCGGUUGGGUUGGAGCCAAGGAGUGCUGGCCGGGUGCGAAGGGAAUGGGGGAAAAAAAUAAAACCCACAACAAAACACCACCGGAAAUCGCAGCAGCCAAACU